rnacentral:rRNA from 1 species
UACGGGGGGGGCAAGCGUUGUUCGGAAUUACUGGGCGUAAAGGGCUCGUAGGUGGCCAACUAAGUCAGACGUGAAAUCCCUCGGCUUAACCGGGGAACUGCGUCUGAUACUGGGUGGCUUGAGUUCGGGAGAGGGAUGCGGAAUUCCAGGUGUAGCGGUGAAAUGCGUAGAUAUCGAGAGGAACACCUGCGGCGAAGGCGGGUUGCUGGGCCGACACUGACGCUGAUGCGCGAAAGCCAGGGGAGCGAACGGG